CUCGGGCUGUCGGGGGGUCGAGACAGUGGAGUGUUCCUGAUGCCAGCUCACGGAGGGAAUCCAGGGAAUUAGCUGAUGCCAAGAGCCUCUUUUUGGCCAGCACUUACUAAGCACCAGAGACACAGCGAGAAGCAGAAGCAUACGAGCACAUCAGUGUGAUUCUGCUGUGAUGAAGGGCAAGAGAGGGCUCACUUUCCGGCGUGACAUUCAAGCUAGCCCCGAGGCCUGAGCAGGACCCGCCCAGGGGAAGAUCUGGAGGAAAGCCAUCUGAACAUACAACAAGAGCAAAGGCCUGGUGGAGUCAAGACCACCUUGGCUGCCAGGUGGAAUGGUGGAAUAACUCAGGAGUCUGUCAGGUCUCUGAGAUGUCAAACGGGUAAGGCCUUGUAGGAAGUAGGCGUUUGAAUGAGAUCAUAAUUUGAGAGCCACAGACAGAAAAAUAAAUUUGAAAGAGUUCACUCAGCCAAAUGUGUACAGUGAGAAAGGGAAAUAAGGCCAAAAGCAGCAAAGACCUCUGUGCCUGUUCCUCCUGGAGCACUUUCACCAGGGUCCCCAGAUCUAGGUCUGCCCAUUCCUCUCCCCACAUUCUACACUGGGCCCUAGGUCAACACUGCUUGAUGAAGUUGAGCAGACCACAGGCAUUGUUAUCCUUUGCCCCUGGGAAGAUGGUAUAGGUGAACUGUAGAGGCCAGACUAUUUCCCAAAUUGCCCUCCUCCUCCUACCAAACUGGAAGGGUAUUGAAAAAGGUGGAGACCUUCCUGGGAUGUCCAGUCUACAGCCUACGUGCUAACCAAAGGCCCACUGGGCAUAGAGCAGAGUCCCCCUCUCCUUACAGGCCUAGCCAGGAAGAGAGUAGCUGUAGGUUUGGGAACCUGAGGGCAUUUGGGAUGCUUAAACACCGCCUGGUAAUUACUCAGUAUUAAUUAAAAUCCUCCCUAUCACCUCCCAUACAGGCUUGGCACACACCCAGGAGCUCAAUGCUGCUGGGAGCUGAGCAGCUGGGAGCAAGGAGCCCUCAUCCCCACUGAUGAAGAGGCCAGCCCAGGUUCUAGGCUAAGCAGGCCUGUGAUUAUAAACAGCAGUGUCUCCCUGGACAAGUUUCUUGACCCUGAGAAGAAUGUUAGACCAUCAACUUUGUGAGGGGACAGGCAGUCUCCAACUUUUUUCCUGCUCAGUCCUUAUUGCAUACUCUUGGAGAAGGUCUACUGACUUGUUCUCAGAUGCCCCACGGCUCAGCCAACCACCCAUCCAGCAGAGCAUUCAAAAGGCAUCUGGAAGGAAUGAGGGCGACCGUUCUGCCAGGCCCCUAUUUUUUUUUGAGAGGAGUCUCACUCUGUCGCCCAGGCUGGAGUGCAAUGGCAUGACCUCUGCUCACUGCAAGCUCUGCCUCCCAGGUUCAAGCGAUUCUCCUGUCUCAGCCUCCCAAGUAGCUGGUACUACAGGCGUGCACCACCACACCCAGCAAAUUUUUUCUAUUUUUAGUAGAGAUGGGGUUUCUCCAUGUUGGCCAGGAUGGUCUCAAUCUCUUGACCUCGUGAUCCACCCGCCUCAGCCUCCCAAAGUGCUGGGAUUACAGGCGUGAGCCACCGCACCUGGCUUUUUUUUUUUCUUUUAGAUGGAGUCUUCCUUUUGUCGCCCAAGGUGGAGUGCAAUGGCACGAUCUCAGCUCACUGCAACCUCCACCUCCCAGGUUCAAGCAAUUCUCCUGCAUCAGCCUCCUGUGUAGCUGGGAUUAUAGGCACCUGCCACCAUGCCCAGUUAAUUUUUGUAUUUUCAGUAGAGACGGGGUUUUGCCAUGUUGGCCAGGAUGGUCUCGAACUCCUGACCUAGGGAUCUGCCCGCCUUAGCCUCCCAAAGUUCUGGGAUUACAGGCGUGAGGCACUGCACCUGGCCAUUUUGUUUGUUUGGGUUUGUUUUUGAGAUGGAGUCUUGCUCUGUUGCCCAGGCUGGAGUGCAGUGGCAUGAUCUCGGCCCAUUGCAAGCUCCACCUCCCGGGUUCAUGCCAUUCUCCUGCCUCAGCCUCCAGAGUAGCUGGGACUACAGGCGUGCGCCACCAUGCCCAGCUAAUUUUUUGUAUUUUUUAGUAGAGACGGGGUUUCACCAUGUUAGCCAGGAUGGUCUGGAUUUCCUGACCUCAUGAUCCGCCUGCCUUGGCCUCCCAAAGUGCUGGGAUUACAGGCGUGAGCCACCACGCCUGGCCUGUUUGUUUUUUUGAGACACAGUCUUACUCUGUUGCCCAGGCUGGAGUGCAGUGACGCGAUCUCGGCUCACUGCAACCUCCACCUCCCAGGUUCAAGCGAUUCUCGUGUCUCAGCCUCCCAAGUAGCUGGGAUUAUAGGUGCGCACCACCACGCCCGGCUUAUUUUUUGUAUUUUUAGUGCAGAUGGGGUUUCACCAUAUUGGCCAGGCUGGUCUUGAACUCCUGACCUCAGGUGAUCCGCCUGCCUCAGCUUCCCAAAAUGCUGGGAUUACCAGCAUGAGUCACCACGCCCGGCCAAGAAAGACCCAUAUUUUGUUUUGUUUUCUUUUUUGAGAUGGAGUCUUGCUCUGUCGCUCAGGCUGGAGUGCAGUGGCGCAAUCUCUGCUCACUGCAACCUCCACCUCCUGGGUUCAAGCCAUUCUCCUGCCUCAGCCUCCCGAGUAGCUGGGACUACAGGCGCACACCACCACGCCUGGCUAAUUUUUGUAUUUUUAGUACAGACAGGGCCAGACUGGUCACGAACUCCUGACCUCAGGCGAUCCACCCGCCUCAGCCUUCCAAAGUGCUGGAAUUAUAGGUGUGAGCCAUCGCACCUGGCCACCAGACCCCCAUUAACUUCAGUAGGGAUGGCACCAGGUUUGAGAGGCCAAAAGAGAUCCAGAGCCAGCAAACAAGACUUAGGUUUGAUUGAGGGGAAUUUGCAUACAGAGCAGUCCAGUGGAGGUGGGCUAGAUAGGAGAACUGCCCCACCUGCAGAAAGUAUGCAGUAUAUAUAGCAUUUUCACUUAACACCCUCCCCCUAACAACUUUGAUUUAACCCAAAACAAAGGGGCUAAAUCCCCUGUACAUCCACAGGACAGAAUGGGGGCUCAGAUAUUCCUCAUGGGUAAGUAAUGAAUCUCUGGCUUGUCCUCACUUGGAACUCCUAACACAUUCAGGUGCAUCUGCCAUACAGGGUCAUUCUCAGAGUAUGCUUAAGUUAUUGCUGUCAGGUGCAGCUACCAUACACAGGUGUGUCUGCCAUAUAGCCACAGAAAGCAGGAGUCCUACAGCUGCUCCUCAUGGGUCUCCAUAGACUAGUCUUAGAGCAAGGAUGGGCAGCCAGCCUCCAGGUUUAACCUGGCACUCUCCCCCAGCACUUGGUCCCCAGAGCAGGGGUGCAUCUCUCCCACUUCUGGUCAACCCUUCAGUAACAAGUAGAGCCCCCAGGGUCUUCAUGAAUAUCUAGUUGAACUGGCUAAAGAAGAGGGCCCUGUAACAGGACAGAACACCAGGAGCCUGAACCCCGCAUCUUCUACCCUUAUCCUGCAUUUAUCCUGCCUGCAUUCAAGCCUGUCCAGCUGCACCACUGGAGGUUACCAUGGCAACUAAACCCAGAGGCAGCCGGUAACUGAGAUACAGCUGCCAAGAGCAACUGAUGGUGGAAAAGGCCAACAGCAGAGACUCUUAGAAGGAAGAGAAGUACACAGGAGGAGGCCCCAGAACCCUGAGGGUGCUACACUCAAAUCUAAUCCUACUCACAACUCAGCAGGCAGUCAACGUCUUGCACAAACUGCCAUAUCACCAACCAGAGGCACAGAUAUGGACACAAUGGGGCCAAUUUGCAGAGAUGUUUGCAACUAUGGAUGCAGAGUAGCACAGGUGGGACACAUGUUGUUUAGCCCAAAAGCAACGGGUCUUGGUGAAAACGAAAAUGGGUAGGGUACCAUUGCUGUUUCCAAUGAAACAAUGAAUUUUGUGUGC
ensembl:lncRNA PRKAR2A-AS1 PRKAR2A antisense RNA 1